rnacentral:lncRNA from 1 species
GAAACCAAGCUUUGCACUCCAAUAUCUAUCUGGAAUACUUGAGAUCAAUCCAAAUUGAGACCAAUCCAAAUAUUUCACUAUAUCUUUUCAGUCCUUUAAAAGACUAAUCAACAGUCGUAAUAAAAACUACAAUUGGUACAAAGCUUUGUAGUUGCCACGAGCUGCAAAGAGGCGUUAGCCUUUUUCUUUUCUUCUUUUUUAUUUUGCUUCUCUUUCUUUUCGCUGACCUCUUUUUUGUAUUUCUUCUUUGCUGCCCUCCUUUUGUUUUGGCUGUAUGCACACAAACACAAGAUGAAGGAUUCAUGCAAGAGUGGGUUGUGUAAUAUGGCCUCCUUUCAUCUUCACUUUUAAUGUACAACUAAUCUCUUUCUUUUUACUUUUGGCAUAGUGUAUUCAGGCAGAGCACAAGGUCUGUGCAAUUCGCUUAGACAUGGAAGGAGAGGGAGAACUGAUCAAAGAAUUUAAAAGCAAAGGUAUAAUUUUUCCUUUGCUACGGGAUUAAGCCCAUGUGCUUCUACUUUAGUCAUCAAUUCUUUUACUGCACUUUUGAUUGAGAAUUAGUUUCCCAUUUUUUUCUUUUGUUUUUUGAAUCUCAACUCUUUUUUUGUGUGCAGGUCAUCCAAGAAAGAACAAUUGGGCAGAGGAGACAUUUGUGCAACGGCGGAGUAAAGACCCGAGUUUUAAUUUCUCAUUAGCUAACUUUUGCGAGAUUAACUCCCUUCAUUUUUUUGUUCUUUUCCUGCAACAUGAUAUUUUAUCUCCUUAAUUGAUUCAUGCCCUUUUUAAGGAUUCAACAUCCAGAACAAUUUGAUUCAUGGGUAAGACACCAAAGUGGAUUCAUCAUCCACAAAGUUCAUGGGAUUUCCCCAAAAUGAUUGAAGAAGAAGAAGAAGAACGAACCCCAUGUGAAGAAGAAGAAGAAGAAGAAGAAAAAUAAGCUAAUCAAGAAGAAGAAGAAGAAGAAGAAGAAGUAGCC